AUGGCAGAUGAGCAUGACCAGGUACAGGCGGCAGCAAGAGAGUAUGCUGACAGGGCCCACGUGGAGGAUGCCACCACAGCGGUAGGUGCUGAGGGAGACAAGAUCCACUCCCAACACCUCCACGCCGAGAGGAGAUCUAUCAUCCCGACUUCACCUGGCCGUGAUGGGACUGGCUGAGGAUUGACGGACCCCGGACUCGACCACCCCAAUUACCCUCGCCGGGCCCAGGGUCCAGCUUCAGGUAGCGGGAACUUUCCAGCUUUCUGCAUCUGGUGCGCCAUCAGCAACCGACUUUCCCACCCUCCACAUUUGGCGCACCCGCCACCACGUGAACAGAAACAUCGUCUCCCAUUGGCCAGGACAGGAUGCCGUAAUGUGCGGCAAACGGUCUUUGCGGGCUCCUACGAGAGGAUGAACAGCAAUCUUUUGUAUGUGACUCUCCCGGCCUCUGUUCAGACCGUGGAACCUCACCCAAGAGCUUUUACACAGAAUAAAUUUUACUGACUUUUGCUAAAUCCCAAGUCUGACUCUAGUUCUUCCACCUUUGCUGCCUGACUCCGCUGCUGAUCAUAGGUAUGACCUGACAAUGUGUUUUCCCAGAAAUUGUCCAUUUCAUAAAGAUGUUUUGGGUGAGAGACAGUUUGAGAGAGGGGGCUAGACAGAUGUUGAUCAAAGGAUAGGAAAUUUCAGUUAAAUAAAAAU